GGGGGUGACCCGGGUUCGACGUGGGUUAAUGAGACUUUAGGUUGCAUGCCCCGGAUGCCGCUGGCCGGGUUAAAAAGUGGCAAAACUGUAAUCGCAAACAACGACGAUUACGCGGUGGGAACACCGCAACUACUCGCUGCCUAAUUAGCCAGUGAGGCCAAAACUAGUGGAGCCUUAACGCUAGUGGAGGUUCAUUAUAUAGGCUAGGAACAAAUCGAUGUCUGGGCUUUUUGUUUCCGAAACUUUACUAGACUGGCAAAAGGAAUCCUGUUUGAGGGAAACUCUUUUUGCGAGACUUUAAUCUCAAACUAAGCAUGUAGACGCCUCUAGAAUCUAACUCGCGGACGGGGGUUCGACUCCCCCCACCUCCAUUC
rnacentral:tmRNA from 1 species